UGGCACAUCUAAUCAUGUAGAAAAGUAUGUGAUGAAUCCAUAAGGUGAUCAUCAUGCAAGCAAUCGAUGUGAAGAUAGUCCACUAGUCUCCACUAUUAUUAAACAAUCAAACAAGAACUUCUCUAAAUGCACCCUAUGAAAUGUACACGGACCCAUUACCACCGCAUGAUUAGGCCCACUAAACUUAAUCUAACAGCUAGCGUUAAUCUAAUCCAUACUCUGUGUGCAUUAAGUAUUCUUUUUGGCUGAUCGUACUCCACCUUUGAAGAAAAUUACCCACCGUGCCACCCGUAAGUGAAAAGUAACGAUUCAAUAAUAAGGGGUUGUUUUCUUUCGUACUCCUCCUGCUCUGUCCCUCACAUCCUUCCCGAUUCCAUAGCCUCCCAACCAUAGUCGGUUGCGCCUCCGCAGAAAAGGAAUCGGUGGUGGAGAGGAUAGGUUGAACCCCGCAGAUCCUAGGCGUCGCUGCCGAAGAGAAAAGCAGCCCCAACAUGCCGAAGGGCACAUCGGCGCGGCGAGCGCGCACGCGACUGCAAGUCCGCCCCCCGCCACCAAUCCCCUAUCUUCUCUGCUUCGAGGCGCACGCUGCCCUCACCGGCGCUGCCGCUGGAUCAUGGAUGGCGGGGCAAAAGGGCAAGACCUACGACUGAUUUUGCGGCGCAUCAGCAGCAGGCAAUGGCGGGCCUGUACGUGCUAGUGGAUCUACAUAAGGUGUCGGCGCAGGGCUGGCACUGCGGCCAGGUGACGUCGCUACCGCCGUCGAGCACCAUGCAUAGCUGCCGCACGAGCUGGCCCACGCCGACGCGCGAGAAGUACUCGCCACUGCCCUGCCCGACGCCGGACACCACGGCCCCUGUAUCUCUGUUGCCGACGCCUCAAAGACCAUCAUGGUGUUGGUCAGCUUCAGGUCGGCGCGGGAGAUCGCGUCGGCGGCCCGGGGAGUCGCGGCGUAGGCGGGCGAGCACGUGGGACCAGUAGCUCUGGUGCCGGCCCUGCUGCUCCCGGAGGAAGGCCCUGGAGUCGGGCCGCAGGGUGAGCCCACUCUGGUGAAGGAUUGGAUCGCUGGAGAACUCUGUUCUUCAAUCGCGUUCUGGUGAAGGAGUCGAUCGCCGGUGAACGAUAUUGCUUUCAACUUGAUCAACCUCUGCCCUUUUUUUCGUGGAAGAAACAGCCGGUGAGGACAACCUGCUCUCCUUUUCAAUCUGGUGCGUAAGUCUGAAGUUUCCCUUUCUCAUGCCAUGUUCCUAUGAAUAGCUCACUAGAACUGACAGAAUUUUGAUCAUAAGACUGCCUUCAACUUGAUCAAGCUUUCCCUUUUAUAAAAAGAAGAAUCAGCCGGGGUUCUAUUUUGUCUAUUGAGAUGGAAGAAGAGGCUAACACAUCGUACCAUCGUACCAUGCCAACAUGAGCUACCAAGCUUUCCCUUUCACAUUUACUUUUCUCUCAUCCUAAAAUAUGGCACUUGCACAAGUUUUUUGUGCUCAUGAUUACUUUUCAAUUGCAGAGCUAUAUUGUCCAGCUUGGUACCUCAUGUUGGCAUGAAAUUUAAAAAUUCGGAUGAAGCUUGGGCAUUUUGGCUUAGCUGUGGUGGUCAAAAGGGCUUUGAGGUCCGAAAAAGGUAUACGAACAAAAGGUCCGCAGAUGGCAAGGUAACGUCAUGUCGAUUUGUUUGUGCAAGAAAUGGAAUGCUUAAUCUCUUCCCCCAAAGUAAAUUCAGUUAUCAAGUCUGAAAAUGUACAAUUAAUCUGAUCGCUAUAUGGGCUAAUUCAGUUAACAAGUCUGAAAACUAAAUUCGGUUAUCAGCUAAUCCUCCUGCAGCGGUGCGACAACGACGGCGUGGCGCAGCGACCACCACCAUGGAGAUGGGUGUGCAGGUCAUCGACGUGCGGUUGCUGCGCACGUAUGCCGAGGUGUUCAUCACGGGCGACGACUCGAGGAGGCCGACGAACAGGACGCCCUUGGACCGGCAUGGCGGGGGGAGGCCAUGUAGCACGCGUUGCUCUGGUUGCCCUGUAUCCUGGAUGCCGCCGACCACAGGGGCACCGGCUGCACGUGUUUCCCGGCCGCCUCCGACCAGUGGGGCUCUCGCGAUGUGUUACUUUGUAUCCCGGCCACCGCGGACAGCGAGGGCUCCCUCUACACGUGUUGCUUUGUUUCCCGGCCGCCGCUGACCACUCGGGCUCCGGCUUCAUUUGUUGCUCUGCGUCCAUUGCUCCUUUGGCGACGGUGAGGACGUGCCGAGAGCUCAUUCUACCAUGACGAAGAACUGGAUUUUUAAAUUUGAGAGGGAGAACGGGAAUUCUAGGGGAACGAGGAGAUUAUUGAAAUUAGGAGGUCAUCAUAGUUUGGAUAUUUUUAUUGUUUUUCUUUUCAGUUUCAUACUACUAUUGGAUUUUGUUGUUUCUCACUAAGAGCUAUUUGACUUAUAA